CAGGCCAAGACACAGAAAUAUACUGUAUGCCAAAAUGUAAAGGUGACAUGAGUGAUCAAAAGAGAGGGAAAGUGAAAGGUCAAGGGAGAAACUCUCAGCAUGUAGGUACGGAACCAUUUCCAUGAGGUCAGCUACAUUCCAAAGCGGCUGCGGCACUGGAUGGGGAGCUGUCGGGGCAUGAUGCACAGCCCAAGACAGUCUUUGAAGGUGAGGAAUCUGAGGCACACAGAGACGAAAAACUGUCCAGGCAGUUGAGUCAGAAUUCAAAUGUUGGCUGUCUUCGUCUGGAACCCACACUUUCUACCUUCCUCUUGUGUUAUGGCUGGAUGUAUGACCUUGUCAUGUACGUAAAACAUCCGCAGACUAACUGGAAAAGGACUUUACCUCAGCCAAAGUGAGUGCAUUGCAGAAUAAGUGCAGAGAGCUUACCUUGGUUUUUAAAGAUAUUCCAAUCCGUUUUAAUUGGGGAUCUCAUUGCAAUGUGCUCCUAUGUCUUGA